rnacentral:lncRNA from 1 species
GGUGUUUGGACCAUGUUUACCAGAAGCAAAUGUAUAGUUACUAGUGCCAAUAGCCCAUAUAGAUUCAGGAAAAAUUUUAAAGGGUCAGAGAGUAAUACUUGCUAGACACUCUCCUCUGUUGGGCUGCAGCCCACUGCUGAAGUCAAGGCAAUCAUUGAGAGUUCAGCCCCAUCCUGGCAUUUGGGCCCCAAGAAGACAUUCAUGAUUAUUUCAGUAACUAUAUUCAAGACUUCCAUUGAGCUUUUAACCUCUUUAGCAAUAGACAAUUCCUGUUUCCUGUAAGUAUGGUGUAUUUCCCAAACCAAAUCCAGGGUAUAUUGGCUUGCUUAAGGGAUAGAACACUGAAUAGAGUUUCAGCAAGUACACCACAAACUGCUAGAACACUUGAUCUCUUUCAAUACAAUUGCUGUCAAUGUUUUUAAAAUUUUGGAGACAUAGAGUACUUUGUGCUUAUGAAGGUUUUUCAUGUAUGCAUCUGACAAAAGUUUUCUGAGCUGCAAGUAUCAGUCUAAUAAUUGAUUUGGCUCAUAAAAUUGCCUUACAUGUUCUUCCUUUAUCAACUAUGCUUUUCAAACAUGGUAUACAAGAACACUUUUUUUUGAGACACAGUCUCCGUCUGUUGCCCAGACUGGAGUGCAGUGGUACAAUCUCAACUCACUGCGAUCUCUGCCUCCUGGGUUCAAGUAAUUCUCAUGCCUCAGCCUCCCGAGUAGCUGGGAUUAUAGGCAUUUGCCACCACGCCUGGCUUUUUGUAUUUUUUGUAGAGAUGGAGUUUCAUCAUGUUGGCCAGGCUGGCCUUGAACUCCUGACCUCAGGUGAUCCUCCCACCUUGGCCUCCCAAAGUGCUGGGAUUAUAGGCAUGAGCCACUGUGCCCAAAAUAAUAACCUAUAUGGAAAUUUUGUAAAUUAGCUUGCAUGUUAUUAAGCUAUCCUUAUCCACCUCAACUCAUCUCUUUAAUUUAUUUGUCUCCCUGUAGUUUAUUCCCUCUACCCCGCAUUUUAACUUUCUGGAAACGUGUGGUAAAAAGCAAUGUGUAAAAGGCAGGCUUCCAAUCUGAAAAGAGAUGAGCGAAAACAGUAUAUAGCAUAAUGGACUAGAUCAGAGUAACUGCUUAGGAUGGAACAGCCAACCGUUCUUCAGCUGCUUCCAGAGUUCAUCUGUAGCCCAGUUAUCUAGAGCCUUGCUAUUCAAAGAUGGUCUGUGCACCAGCAGCACUGGCAGCACCUAGGGACUUGGGAAAAAUGCAGAAUCUCAGGCCCCACCCAAACCAACUUAAUUUGAAUCUUUUUGUUUUGUUUUGCUGCUUGACACCACAAAGGUUUCUUUCUGUCUCUCCUCAUGAUGAAUUAUGUUGGUGGGGAUGAGGAGUGCUGGCUUCCGCAUGGUCACAGGACUAUCAGGAACCCAUUCAGAAACACACGACCCAUUUAGCAGCUCCUCUCCUUAACUGUCAGCCCCUGGCCACCACCACCACCAGAA